UUCAUAUCGUACACUUGUAAUUCGUGCAUUGAAAUUUCCAGUUACUUCCUGUUGCCUGCCUACAAAUCAUCUCAAGGAAAAAAUAAGAGCACUCUGUAGGAUUUAUCUGGCUAUUUUGGAUGUGACAUGUUUAUUUUGGUUUCCGUUACAUGGUAUAGAGUGAGUGUAAUGUGUUUGCAGUUUACCUGUGUGUGACUGAUUCCGGAUGUGUCAAGUUGCAACAUUA